rnacentral:sRNA from 1 species
CCUCCAGGCACGCCGAGUCCCGCCAGCUCGGAGGUCCCCCUGAUGUGCAGCAUGGCGGGAGCGGGGGACCCACUUCUACCGACCGGUCAGCCGGUCUCGGGGUGAAGCCGGGUCGUCCACUCGUGACGACCGGCCGGGUGAUCUCCACCCGAACCCGACAGCUCACCUCGAAGGCGCUGGAGACUCGAUGA